CUGGACCUCUCUCCCCCUCUCCCAGCUUGCCUUGCCUUGCAGAUCAGUCUCUCUCCGGCUCGGUCUCUCUGCAUAGGCAAUCACAGCUCCUGCUCGCAGACCCAACUCUCCCUCUUGCACUGAUUGUAAUUAAUUUUCUGCCUGAAUGUAGGUUGCUGACAAGCGAGAACGCGAGUUUCUUUCAGAUCCAGUGUUGUUGUUUUUCCUAUUGUUAUUUUUAAUUUUUACCCCCUUCGUGGUCGUUGCAUUCCUUUGGAGAAGCAAAUCGCGUUGGAUUCCAAAAAGGAAAGUAAGGACCUUGUGUGAAUAAUCCCGGCUGCAUGAUACCCUGAGAGGAUUUCCUGAAAGAAUCUGGCUGUGUUAAAAAGACCGUUAUGCUUCUGCAUCUGUUCCAGUGUUAAGGUGGUGAAUUAUGGCGCAGAUGAUGCAGAUCCAUUGGUCUUGACAGAUGAAAUAUUAGUAUUUAUUGAAACUGGAUAUUAACCCUGGAUCUGGAAGUCAUGUCUUCAGACAGGUGGAAGUUUCGUGUACGGGAGGACAAAACAUCAAAUGGAGGAGGAAAAAAAUUCCCCUACAUCCUACUUUAUUACCUUAUACCAUACCAUUUUUUUCUCUGCUUGGACAUGUACUAGGAUUGAUUAUUU
rnacentral:lncRNA from 1 species